rnacentral:rRNA from 1 species
CGUAACGCGUAUACAAUCUACCUAAUACUGGAGGAUAGCCCGAGGAAACUCGGAUUAAUACUUCAUAGUAUCACAGAUAGGCAUCUUGAAGUGAUUAAAGAUUUAUCGGUAUUAGAUGAGUAUGCGUCUGAUUAGUUUGUUGGUGAGGUAACGGCUCACCAAGACGAUGAUCAGUAGGGGUUCUGAGAGGAUGAUCCCCCACACUGGGACUGAGACACGGCCCAGACUCCUACGG